rnacentral:rRNA from 1 species
UACGAAGGGUGCAAGCGUUGUUCGGAAUUACUGGGCGUAAAGGGCGCGCAGGCGGCCGAUCAAGUCAGAUGUGAAAGCCCCGGGCUCAACCUGGGAAUUGCAUUUGGGACUGGUAGGCUAGAGAUCGGGAGAGGAGAGUGGAAUUCCCAGUGUAGAGGUGAAAUUCGUAGAUAUUGGGAAGAACACCAGUGGCGAAGGCGGCUCUCUGGACCGAUACUGACGCUGAGGCGCGAAAGCGUGGGGAGCAAACAGG